GAUGAACGCUAGCUACAGGCUUAACACAUGCAAGUCGAGGGGAAACGACAUCGAAAGCUUGCUUUUGAUGGGCGUCGACCGGCGCACGGGUGAGUAACGCGUAUCCAACCUGCCCAUCACUUGGGGAUAACCUUGCGAAAGUAAGACUAAUACCCAAUGACGUCUCUAGAAGACAUCUGAAAGGGAUUAAAGAUUUAUCGGUGAUGGAUGGGGAUGCGUCUGAUUAGCUUGUUGGCGGGGUAACGGCCCACCAAGGCGACGAUCAGUAGGGGUUCUGAGAGGAAGGUCCCCCCACAUUGGAACUGAGACACGGUCCAAACUCCUACGGGAGGCAGCAGUGAGGAAUAUUGGUCAAUGGGCAGAGCCUGAACCAGCCAAGCAGCGUGCAGGAUGACGGCCCUAUGGGUUGUAAACUGCUUUUAUAAGGGAAUAAAGUUAGUCUCGUGAGACUUUUUGCAUGUACCUUAUGAAUAAGGACCGGCUAAUUCCGUG
rnacentral:rRNA from 1 species